UACGUAGGGGGCAAGCGUUGUCCGGAUUUAUUGGGCGUAAAGAGCUCGUAGGUGGUUCGGUAAGUCGGUUGUGAAAUCCCUGGGCUUAACCUGGGAAUUGCAUUCGAAACUGCAAGUCUUGAGUUCUCGAGAGGAUGGUGGAAUUCCUGGAGUAGUAGUGAAAUACGUAGAUAUCAGGAGGAACACCGGAGGCGAAGGCGGCCAUCUGGCGAGACACUGACGCUAAGGCGCGAAAGCGUGGGUAGCAAACAGG
rnacentral:rRNA from 1 species